AUUAGAUACCCUGGGUAGUCCACGCCGUAAACGGUGGAUGCUGGAUGUGGGGCCCUUUUUCCGGGUCCUGUGUCGGAGCUAACGCGUUAAGCAUCUCGCCUGGGGAGUACGGCCGCAAGGCUAAAACUCAAAGAAAUUGACGGGGGCCCGCACAAGCGGCGGAGCAUGCGGAUUAAUUCGAUGCAACGCGAAGAACCUUACCCGGGCUUGACAUCCCGAUGAAUAUCCGGCAAUGCGGAUAGGCCCUUCGGGGACAUUGGAGACAGGUGGUGCAUGGUUGUCGUCAGCUCGUGUCGUGAGAUGUUGGGUUAAGUCCCGCAACGAGCGCAACCCUUACCCCCAGUAGCCAGCAUAUAAGGUGGGAACUCUGGGGGGACUGCCGGGGACAACCCGGAGGAAGGUGGGGAUGACGUCAAAUCAUCAUGCCCCUUAUGCCCGGGGCGACACACGUGCUACAAUGGCGUAAACAGAGGGAGGCGAACCCGCGAGGGGGAGCAAAACCCAAAAAUAACGUCCCAGUUCGGAUUGCAGGCUGCAACCCGCCUGCAUGAAGCCGGAAUCGCUAGUAAUCGCGGAUCAGAAUGCCGCGGUGAAUACGUUCCCGGGUCUUGUACACACCGCCCGUCACACCAUGGGAGUCGGAAAUGCCCGAAGUCUGUGACCCAACCCCUGGUGAGCAUGACCGUAUAGAGAGAUAACAGAGCUUACGAAGGAAGGUCUGUUAUACUCGUGAAAAAGAUAUACGGGGUCGUGCUUAGCAGGGGGAGGGAGCAGCCGAAGGCAGGUCGGAUGACUGGGGUGAAGUCGUAACAAGGUACC
rnacentral:rRNA from 1 species